AGUGAACGCUGGCGGUAGGCCUAACACAUGCAAGUCGAACGGCAGCACAGUAAGAGCUUGCUCUUACGGGUGGCGAGUGGCGGACGGGUGAGGAAUACAUCGGAAUCUACUUUUUCGUGGGGGAUAACGUAGGGAAACUUACGCUAAUACCGCAUACGACCUACGGGUGAAAGCAAGGGAUCUUCGGACCUUGCGCGAUUGAAUGAGCCGAUGUCGGAUUAGCUAGUUGGCGGGGUAAAGGCCCACCAAGGCGACGAUCCGUAGCUGGUCUGAGAGGAUGAUCAGCCACACUGGAACUGAGACACGGUCCAGACUCCUACGGGAGGCAGCAGUGGGGAAUAUUGGACAAUGGGCGCAAGCCUGAUCCAGCCAUACCGCGUGAGUGAAGAAGGCCUUCGGAUUGUAAAGCCCUUUUGUUGGGAAAGAAAAGCAGCAGGUUAAUACCCCGCUGUUCUGACGGUACCCAAAGAAUAAGCACCGGCUAACUUCGUG
rnacentral:rRNA from 1 species